ensembl:lncRNA
UUUUAGAGUGAUGAAAUCUCAUGACCAGACUGAGGCUGCAUGUCUCACUCUUUGCCCCAGGCACUGUCCUUCCACCAUCUCUCAUCCGCUCACUCAAGACCUUCACCGGAUAAUGAGGCAAUGUGGGUGGAAGCAGCAACACAGUAGAGAUCCUGAACAUGUUUGUAAAGGACAGAGCAGCCCGCUGGUAUUCUGCCAAACCAGAGCUCCAUGUGCUAUCAGGGUCUGGAGAGAGAAGCCCUUGCUGCACUGAAUGGAAUUGCUGCAAAUUCAUGCUUGUGUGCCCAAGAACAAACCAAAGGAAUGUUUGACUAUGUGUGUCGGUGAUGUAAAAAAAAGAAGGAAUAAGAAAAUGACUAAGAAUGUUCUUUUGUGUAUAUGUUUGUGCUUGUAUUGCAUCUGAUAGAAACCACAGCAAAGUAAGCCUUGCCUUUGGCUUCUGGCUCAAAUGACCGGAUACAGGAUGUGAUAAAGCAUUUGUCUGCUAGUGUUAUACAUUACGCUUGUGAUCACAGAAUCUACUUAUAUAACACAGUGUAGGCAACAAAAGCAUUAGACAGAAGCACCGCAGGCAGUCAUUUUCUCUUUAAACUAG